UACGGGGGGAGCAAGCGUUGUUCGGAUUUACUGGGCGUAAAGGGCGGGUAGGCGGCCACCGCAAGUCGACUGUGAAAUCUCCGGGCUUAACCCGGAAAGGUCAGCCGAUACUGCGGGGCUAGAGUGCAGAAGGGGCAACUGGAAUUCUCGGUGUAGCGGUGAAAUGCGUAGAUAUCAGGAGGAACACCGAUGGCGAAGGCAGGUCUCUGGGCUGACACUGACGCUCAUGCACGAAAGCGUGGGGAGCAAACAGG
rnacentral:rRNA from 1 species